AUUGAACGCUGGCGGCAUGCCUUACACAUGCAAGUCGAACGGUAACAGGUCUUCGGAUGCUGACGAGUGGCGAACGGGUGAGUAAUACAUCGGAACGUGCCCGAGAGUGGGGGAUAACGAGGCGAAAGCUUUGCUAAUACCGCAUACGAUCUCAGGAUGAAAGCAGGGGACCGCAAGGCCUUGCGCUCACGGAGCGGCCGAUGGCAGAUUAGGUAGUUGGUGGGAUAAAAGCUUACCAAGCCGACGAUCUGUAGCUGGUCUGAGAGGACGACCAGCCACGCUGGGACUGAGACACGGCCCAGACUCCUACGGGAGGCAGCAGUGGGGAAUUUUGGACAAUGGGCGCAAGCCUGAUCCAGCCAUGCCGCGUGCAGGAUGAAGGCCUUCGGGUUGUAAACUGCUUUUGUACGGAACGAAAAGACUCUGGUUAAUACCUGGGGUCCAUGACGGUACCGUAAGAAUAAGCACCGGCUAACUUCGUGCCAGCAGCCGCCGUAAUAC
rnacentral:rRNA from 1 species